AACGAACGCCGGCGGCACGCCUAACACAUGCAAGUCGCACGAGAAAGUCCCCGCAAGGGGGACCGGUAAAGUGGCAGACGGGUGAGUAACGCGUGGGUAACCUACCCUCGAGUGGGGGAUAACCCCGCGAAAGCGGGGCUAAUACCGCAUAACAUCCCGGAACGCGAGUUUCGGGAUCGAAGGUGGCUCGCAAGAGCUACCGCUCGGGGAGGGGCUCACGUUCCAUCAGCUAGUUGGUGGGGUAACGCCUACCAAGGCGGNGACGGAUAGCUGGUCUGAGAGGACGACCAGCCACACUGGCACUGAGACACGGGCCAGACUCCUACGGGAGGCAGCAGUGAGGAAUCUUGCGCAAUGGACGAAAGUCUGACGCAGCGAUGCCGCGGUGGGGA
rnacentral:rRNA from 1 species